rnacentral:rRNA from 1 species
GUAGAGAUCUGGAGGAAUACCGGUGGCGAAGGCGGCCCCCUGGACGAAGACUGACGCUCAGGUGCGAAAGCGUGGGGAGCAAACAGGAUUAGAUACCCUGGUAGUCCACGCCGUAAACGAUGUCGACUUGGAGGUUGUGCCCUUGAGGCGUGGCUUCCGGAGCUAACGCGUUAAGUCGACCGCCUGGGGAGUACGGCCGCAAGGUUAAAACUCAAAUGAAUUGACGGGGGCCCGCACAAGCGGUGGAGCAUGUGGUUUAAUUCGAUGCAACGCGAAGAACCUUACCUGGUCUUGACAUCCACGGAAGUUUUCAGAGAUGAGAAUGUGCCUUCGGGAACCGUGAGACAGGUGCUGCAUGGCUGUCGUCAGCUCGUGUUGUGAAAUGUUGGGUUAAGUCCCGCAACGAGCGCAACCCUUAUCCUUUGUUGCCAGCGGUCCGGCCGGGAACUCAAAGGAGACUGCCAGUGAUAAACUGGAGGAAGGUGGGGAUGACGUCAAGUCAUCAUGGCCCUUACGACCAGGGCUACACACGUGCUACAAUGGCGCAUACAAAGAGAAGCGACCUCGCGAGAGCAAGCGGACCUCAUAAAGUGCGUCGUAGUCCGGAUUGGAGUCUGCAACUCGACUCCAUGAAGUCGGAAUCGCUAGUAAUCGUGGAUCAGAAUGCCACGGUGAAUACGUUCCCGGGCCUUGUACACACCGCCCGUCACACCAUGGGAGUGGGUUGCAAAAGAAGUAGGUAGCUUAACCUUCGGGAGGGCGCUUACCACUUUGUGAUUCAUGACUGGGGUGAAGUCGUAACAAGGUAACCGUAGGGGAACCUGCGGUUGGAUCACCUCCUUACCUUAAAGAAGC